rnacentral:rRNA from 1 species
UGCGUAGGUGGCGCCGUAAGUCGGGUGUGAAAUUUCGGAGCUUAACUCCGAAACUGCAUUCGAUACUGCGGUGCUUGAGGACUGGAGAGGAGACUGGAAUUCAUGGUGUAGCAGUGAAAUGCGUAGAGAUCAUGAGGAAGACCAGUGGCGAAGGCGGGUCUCUGGACAGUUCCUGACACUGAGGCACGGAGGCCAGGGGAGCAAACG